UCAGGAACUGGCAGUGAUUCGCGGGGAUCAGCUGACAGCAGCCGACCUGGUGCCUAUCUUCAGUGGCUUCUUGAAGGAUCUGGUCAAAGACAAGAGGAGAGUGCACCUCUGCCAGCUGCCGAGGUUGGUGGUGACUGACAGCAGCCCGAACUAGGGGUUUCCAUAUGGACUAGCAGAGUUACAGCUAGUCAUCUCACAAAUAAUUGUCUUCCUGAAGAAAUCCAUCAGGCUUUUGCAGCUACGUAGGAUAUGAUUUGGCCGGUGCCGGGGGCAAACUGGAAGAUUUUCUCUUUGCUGUGAGCUUUAAUCAUUAUCCUUAAUUUGAGAGGUUGAAGUUUAGUCAUUAUGUCAUGUUCGCAGCACACUCCUGCAAAAAGAACUGAGAAAAACAAGCCUGUGCCCGGCGCGGCGACCCUGCGCCCCCUGGCGGCGGGUGCUGGGCGAGCCCCCGGCGUCCCGGGCCCUAUCUCCCAUCGCUUGGCUUAUUGCAGUGGCCGGUUGCGAUAACGGCUGCGCCCGGCGCGAUAUUGGCCUCAUUUUCCCCCCGCAGACGGCGGGAGCGAUAUGAAGCCGUUCGCCGCGGCCCGCUUCCUCCCCGCCCUUUUUCAUUUCCUCUGCCCGCGUGCAAAUCACACCACUCUCUCUCACCCGAGCCGAGCAGGGCCGCAGCAAGCGAGACAGAAAGAAUGAGGGGGAAACACCUAGCGAAAAACCGAAGGGAAAAAAAAGAGCGAGGGAAAAGACCUAGCGAGAAAAAGAGAGGGGGUUAAAAGACCUGCCGAGAAAGGGCGAGAGGGAAAGACCUAGCGAAAACCCGAGGGGAAAAAAGAAUGAGGGAAAAGACCUAGCGAGGAAAAGCGACGGGUAGAUGUAGCGAAAAACCGAGGGGGGAAAAGAGCGAGGAAAAAGAUCUAGCGAGGAACGGCGAGGAGGAAAGACCUAGGGAGAAAGAGCGAGGGGAAAAAAAAAACCUAACGAGGAGGAGCGAGAGGAAAAGACCUGCCGAGAAAGAGCGAGGAAAGAAAACCUAGCGAGCAGGAGCGAAGGAAAAAGACCUGCGGGAAAAGAUCAAAGCGGGAAAAAUUAGCGAGCAGGAGCGAGGGAAAAAGACCUGCCGAGAAAGAUCGAGGGAGAAAAACAAAAAAAACAAAAAACAGCGAGCAGAAGCGAGGAGGAAAAACCUGCCGAGAAAGAUCGAGAGGAAAAAAACAAAACAACACAAACCUAGCGAGCAGGAGCGAGGAGGAAAAACCUGCGGAGAAGGAGCGAGGGGAAAAGGGCGGCCGAGUCAGACGGCUAAGUGGGGAAAGCGCGCGAGGAAGUGGUGUGAAAAAAGGAUAAAGAUUGAGAAAGAGCGGGCGAAAAAGCUAGGGGAAAGCGGUCUAGAAAGAAGAACCACGGGGCAAGAGCGAUGUUGAAAAUGAAGGAAGGAGUGAGAAGAAAAAAAAAAAAAAACGGAGGAGAAAGAACAAGGGAGAAACGGCGAGAAAAAGAGCGCGGGCGCCGCCAUCCGCCGCUCGGCUCCUCGCUCCGGCUCGCCAAGGCGACCGGGCAACUGCUGCAGCCCGUAGCUGCUUUUAAGUGGUCUGGUGUAGGGCAGACUUUGUGUGUGUUUAAACCAUAACCGGACCUGGGAGCCUCAAACCCUGAACGCACGAACCCCUAUUUUACAAAGCGCUUGGGUGCACAGUACACGGCGGCUUCGGCACGCCCGCUGCUCCCGCUACCGCUGCGCCCGCGCGCGGCCCACUUGGAAAGGAGCAAGAAUCCAUUAAAUGUGGUAGGGGUCCCCCUGCUUGUUCUUAUAGGCAACACAGCUGCUCCUGAUCUUGGAUCUGUAGACUUCAGCGACGUUAGCGGUUGCCUGAAACACGUUGCCCUGAAGUUGUGCACAAAGUUUUUCGAGUGCGCUGCAUUUCAUUCAAUCUAGUAAGGAGCCGCUGGCCUUGCCCGUAGCACAUUCUUGUAAAUAGCUCUCUUUCUGUUUCCGUCUUAACUCCAUUAUUUUUUUUUCUGGGUUCUAUUUGUCAUUUUCUCUAUAAGCCCAGCUUUUAAUUUUUGCAGUUAGAAGCUAUAUUGUUUCAUAAAUUUUCAGGAUAGCCUAUUAAUU
rnacentral:lncRNA from 1 species